UACGAACUGUGCAAACGUUAUUCGGAAUUAUUGGGCGUAAAGGGUGCGUAGGCGGUUUGGUAAGUCUUGUGUGAAAUCUCCAGGCUCAACUUGGAGUCUGCACGAGAAACUGCCGGGCUUGAGUGUGGGAGAGGUGAGUGGAAUUCCUGGUGUAGCGGUGAAAUGCGUAGAUAUCAGGAGGAACACCUGUGGCGAAAGCGGCUCACUGGUCCACAACUGACGCUGAUGCACGAAAGCUAGGGGAGCAAACAGG
rnacentral:rRNA from 1 species